UACUUAUGGUAUCUGGCCUCCAAUCU
rnacentral:piRNA from 1 species